rnacentral:rRNA from 1 species
UGGGGAAUUUUGGACAAUGGGCGAAAGCCUGAUCCAGCCAUGCCGCGUGAGUGAAGAAGGCCUUCGGGUUGUAAAGCUCUUUUAGUCGGAAAGAAAGAGUCGCAACGAAUAAUUGUGAUUUAUGACGGUACCGACAGAAAAAGCACCGGCUAACUACGUGCCAGCAGCCGCGGUAAUACGUAGGGUGCGAGCGUUAAUCGGAAUUACUGGGCGUAAAGGGUGCGCAGGCGGUUUUGCAAGUCAGAUGUGAAAGCCCCGGGCUUAACCUGGGAAUUGCGUUUGAAACUACAAGGCUAGAGUGCAGCAGAGGGGAGUGGAAUUCCAUGUGUAGCAGUGAAAUGCGUAGAGAUGUGGAAGAACACCGAUGGCGAAGGCAGCUCCCUGGGUUGACACUGACGCUCAUGCACGAAAGCGUGGGGAGCAAACA